UUCUGGCUCAGGAUGAACGCUGGCGGCGUGCCUAACACAUGCAAGUCGAGCGAUUACUUCGGUAAAGAGCGGCGGACGGGUGAGUAACGCGUGGGUAACCUGCCUCAUACACAUGGAUAACAUACCGAAAGGUAUGCUAAUACAGGAUAAUAUAAGAGAUUCACAUGGAUUUCUUAUCAAAGCUCCGGCGGUAUGAGAUGGACCCGCGUCUGAUUAGCUAGUUGGUAAGGUAAUGGCUUACCAAGGCGACGAUCAGUAGCCGACCUGAGAGGGUGAUCGGCCACAUUGGAACUGAGACACGGUCCAAACUCCUACGGGAGGCAGCAGUGGGGAAUAUUGCACAAUGGGCGAAAGCCUGAUGCAGCAACGCCGCGUGAGUGAUGAAGGCCUUCGGGUCGUAAAACUCUGUCCUCAAGGAAGAUAAUGACGGUACUUGAGGAGGAAGCCCCGGCUAACUACGUGCCAGCCGCCGC
rnacentral:rRNA from 1 species